rnacentral:rRNA from 1 species
UGGGGAAUCUUCCGCAAUGGACGAAAGUCUGACGGAGCAACGCCGCGUGAGUGAAGAAGGUUUUCGGAUUGUAAAGCUCUGUCUUUUGGGACGAAUGUGCUUUUUGUAAAUAAUGAAAAGCAAUGACGGUACCGAAGGAGGAAGCCACGGCUAACUACGUGCCAGCAGCCGCGGUCAUACGUAGGUGGCAAGCGUUGUCCGGACUUAUUGGGCGUAAGGCGCGCGCAGGCGGGAUAAUAAGUCUGUUGUUUAAGUGCGGGGCGCAACCCCGUAUAGGCAAUGGAAACUGAUAGUCUUGAGUGCAGGAGAGGAAAGUGGAAUUCCUAGUGUAGCGGUGAAAUGCGUAGAUAUUAGGAGGAACACCAGUGGCGAAGGCGACUUUCUGGACUGUGUCUGACGCUGAGGCGCGAAAGCCAGGGGAGUGAACG